GACGAACGCUGGCGGCGUGCUUAACACAUGCAAGUCGAACGGAAAGGCCCUGCUUUUGUGGGGUGCUCGAGUGGCGAACGGGUGAGUAACACGUGAGUAACCUGCCCUUGACUUUGGGAUAACUUCAGGAAACUGGGGCUAAUACCGGAUAGGAGCUCCUGCUGCAUGGUGGGGGUUGGAAAGUUUCGGCGGUUGGGGAUGGACUCGCGGCUUAUCAGCUUGUUGGUGGGGUAGUGACUUACCAAGGCUUUGACGGGUAGCCGGCCUGAGAGGGUGACCGGCCACAUUGGGACUGAGGUACGGCCCAGACGCCUACGGGAGGCAGCAGUGGGGAAUAUUGCACAGUGGGCGGAAGCCUGAUGCAGCAGCGCCGCGUGCGGGAUGACGGCCUUCGGGUUGUAAACCGCUUUCGCCUGUGACGAAGCGUGAGUGACGGUAAUGGGUAAAGAAGCACCGGCUAACUACGUG
rnacentral:rRNA from 1 species